CGCUAUGGCGACUUUCUCGUCAGUUUCCUAAUUAUUGCCUUUUUUAUAUGUUUUACACGAAUUUUUUAAGUCAGUGUGUAGUAAAUAGGUACAGUGUAUGUCAGUUUACAAUGUGAGGGUGGAAAGUAGUUAAUAUUCAAUUGAUCAGUGUAUGAACGAAAGCAGUGAAUAAGGUGAAAUAGGCGCACUAUUGAGAAAGAACACAGGUGCGUAUCGUCAGAGUCAUCCCAGGAGGGAAUGCACUAAAACAUUCAAACCUUAAUUGCAACGUAUGGCGAAUACGAAGCAUCCUAGCAUUGGAUUUGAUGCCUUGUUCGAGAAUCUCUAUUACCUACGUGAUGUCUGGAGACAUUUGCUAACCCGUGCGAUACACAGUCAGAUAACACGCGAACGAGAGGUUCACUUGAAGGACUAGCGGAAGGACGUCGGGGCAAUGCUACCAAAUGUUUCACAAUGUAC